rnacentral:rRNA from 1 species
UACGGAGGGUGCAAGCGUUGCUCGGAAUUAUUGGGCGUAAAGGGUAGGUAGGUGGUCUCAUUUGUCUGGGGUGAAAGCCUUGAGCUUAACUCAAGAAGUGCCCCAGAAACGGUGAGACUCGAGUCCUGGAGAGGUGAGUGGAAUUCCCGGUGUAGCGGUGAAAUGCGUAGAGAUCGGGAGGAACACCAGAGGCGAAGGCGGCUCACUGGACAGGUACUGACACUCAACUACGAAAGCGUGGGGAGCAAACAGG